AUUGAACGCUGGCGGCAGGCUUAACACAUGCAAGUCGAACGAGUGGCGGACGGGUGAGUAAUGCGUGGGACUCUAGCUUAUGGGGGGGGAUAACUACGGGAAACUGUAGCUAAUACCGCAUACCAUAGGAUGCGCCGAUGUGGGAUUAGGUAGUUGGUGGGGUAAAGGCUCACCAAGGCGACGAUCUCUAGCUGGUCUGAGAGGAUGACCAGCCACACUGGAACUGAGACACGGCCCAGACUCCUACGGGAGGCAGCAGUGGGGAAUAUUGCGCAAUGGGGGCAACCUGACGCAGCCAUGCCGCGUGAAUGAAGAAGGCCUUCGGGUUGUAAAGUACUUUCGGUAGAGAGGCGUUACCUGCAGAAGAAGCACCGGCUAACUCCGUGCCAGCAGCCGCGGUAAUUC
rnacentral:rRNA from 1 species